UGGAAAGUUCCUAACAGGAACAAAAGUGCAGAGAAUUAUAUUAAAAAUUCCCACGUGCCCAUUGCCUGCCUUCAACAAUAAACGCCUUGUAGCUAAAUUUAUUAUUUUGCAUUCCUGAGCUCACUUACUCCCGUGAAUUAUUUUGAAGCACAUUUGGAAAAUCAUGUUAAUCUGUAAUUAAAAAAAUAUAUAACAUCAAAAGGCAUGGACGACUCCCUUUUAAAAAUAACCGCAAUACCGUCACCACACACAGAAAAUUAAGAUUUCUUGAUUGCAUCUUUGUGUUCUUCUAUCCCUUUUAUUUUCUGCAAAUUGGUAGUUAUAUCUGGAGGGUUGCCUGAGUUCAGUUUUGGUGUCUUUGGUAAGAAUCCUUCGUAGGUGGUGUUGAAUGUGGACUUUCAUUGGGAGGCACAGAAGGUCUGGUUGUCUCCCUUUUGGGGUGAUGGUUGCCCGGAGUAUGGUUUACUCUUAACUCCUGUAAUGUAAAGGGAGGGAGGAAGGAAGAAAGGAGGAAGGAAGGAAGGAAGGAGGGAAAAAAGGAAGG
rnacentral:lncRNA from 10 species